UGCGUAGGCGGAAUAUUAAGUCAGUGGUGAAAUCCUACGGCUCAACCGUAGAACUGCCAUUGAUACUGAUAUUCUUGAAUGUAGUUGAGGUAGGCGGAAUGUGUAAUGUAGCGGUGAAAUGCUUAGAUAUUACACAGAACACCGAUUGCGAAGGCAGCUUACUAAACUAUGAUUGACGCUGAGGCACGAAAGCGUGGGGAGCGAACAGGAUUAGAUACCCUGGUAGUCC
rnacentral:rRNA from 1 species